rnacentral:tRNA from 4 species
GGGCGGUUAGCUCAGAGGCCCAGAGCGCUGCGUUGACAUCGCAGAGGUCACUGGUUCGACUCCAGUACCGCCCACCA